GGCCGUAGCGCCCGCUUCCCGGCAUGCCCCGCGCACCCCUGCCCGGGACACUCACCGGCGCCGGCGGCCCCCGCUUCGGCUCUGCAGCGGCGGCUGCACACCCAGCCUCUGCGCCUGCGUCGCAAGUAGGAUGAACGAUCAUGGUGAAAGAGAAGCCCAGCCAGCAGCCAGCACCAACCGCCAGCUGUGUGAGUGAGGCCAUUCUGGAUCAUCCAGCCCCAGCUGCCCCACCAGAUGAUGGCAGCCACACAAGUGACCCCAGUUGAGACCAAUAAAAGAUCUGCCCAUCUGAUACAGCCCAAACUGCUGAACCCCAGAAUCACGAACAAAUAAGUAAAAGAAAAGAACACUGGUUGUAUUUUAUGGUUGCACUAUGUCCAGCAGAAAAAGGCAUUCCUCAGUCUCCUUGCAGCAAGGUAAAGCCAUCUGAUAAAAUUUUGUCCAGUUGGAUAUAAGCCAAAAUGUUGUGUGACAAUUUUGAGAGGACUUCCUGAAACAGGUGGACAAACCCUUUUUCUACUGAGUCACCUUUGUGCCACCUGGAACUAGCAGUGUGAUGCAUGGAAUUUAGGCAGCCAUAUUGAACCAUGAGGACAAGAGCAGUGGGGAUGGCGGAACCAAGAGCUGGAAGGUGCCUGAGUCUCUGGUGAAGAUGUGGAGCUGCUGUAACAGCCCUGGACUCCUACUUCUGGACUUCCUUUAUGUUUGAGUGUAACACUUUGAGUAUUUUAAUUUUUUUAAUUUAUUUUAGAGAUGAGGUCUCACUAUGUUGCCUAGGCUGGACUCAAACUCUUAUGCUCAAGCAGUCCUCCUGCCUCAGCUUCAUGAGUAGCUGAAACUAUAGCACUUUGGGUAUUUGAGCCACUGAGGUAUAUCUAGCACCUCCUGGAAUAUCAAGCUUAACAUGUCCAAUCCUUGCCCCAGAUAUUUUCCUCCCCCAAUUUUCUCAAUCUCAAUAAAUGUCACCACCAUCCACCUGGUUGCUCAGGUCAAAAACCUAGAAAUCAUUCAAGUUCUCUCCCUUUCCCUCAUCCCCAAUAUCCAUUCCAUCAGCAAUAUCUGUCCAUUCUAUCUCCAGGACAUAUCCCAGAUCUCAUCACCUUUGUCUGCGUCUCCUACCCUCACUCUCAUCCAGCAUCAUCCCUCACCUGGACUCUGCAAGAGCCUACUUGUGGGUCUGUCUGCGUCCCUGUCUGCCUCCUCCAGGGCCAUUCUCCAUCCAGUGGCCGGAUGGAUUUUUCAAAGAGGUAAAUCAGAUCAGUUCACUUCUCUGCUUAAAACCCUCCGAGGGCUGCCUAUAACACGUAGAGUAACAUAGAGACCCCUUCCCAGGGACUUCAAGGUGCUACAUGGCCUGGCCCCUCGCUGACCUCACUUCACUCUGGGCUUGCUAGCCUUGCUGUCCCUCACACAUGCUGAGCUCGUUCCCACCACAGGGCCUUUUCCCUUUUCUUCCUUCUCCCUGGAAUGUUCUUCUCCCCACCUCCCAACCUCUAUCUUCCCAGGGCUGACUCCUGUUCCCAUUUGGGUCUCAAAUCAUGUCAGUACCUUCUCAGAGAGGCCUUCCCUCACUGCUCAUCCCUUCACCUUUAGAACACUUUCUUUUCUUUUAAGAGACAAAGUCAGCCUGAUGCAGUGGCUCAUGCCUGUAAUCCCAGCACUUUGAGAGGCCAAGGUGGGCAGAUCACCUGAGGUCAGGAGUUCAAGACCAGCCUGGCCAACAUGGCAAAACCCCGUCUCUACUAAAAAAUACAAAAAUUAGCCAGGCAGUGGUAGCCCUGGCUACUCAGGAGGCUGAGGCAGAAUUGCUUGAACCCGGGUGGCAGAGGUUGCAGUGAGCCGAGAUCAAGCCACUGCACUCCAACCUGGGUGACAGAGCGAGACUCUGUCUCAAAAAAAAAAAAAAAAAAAAAAAAAAAGACAAGGUAUUGCUCUGUCGCCCAGGCUAGAGUGCAGUGGUGCAAUCACGGCUCACUGCAGCCUCGAACUCCUGGGCUCAAGCCAUCCUCCCACCUCAGCUUCCCGAGUAGCUGGGAUUAUAGGCUCCUCCCACCACACCUGGCUAAUUUUUGUGCUUUUUGUGGAGAGAGAGAUUCUCCAUGUUGCCCAGGCUGGUCUCCAACUCCUGGGCUCAAGGGAUCCUCCUGCCUCGGCUUCCCAAAGUGCUGGGAUUACAGGUGUGAGCCACUGCGCCUGGUCCAGGACACUUGCUAUUUCCUCACCAUUGCUUUAUUUCUUCUACGAAGAUUUCACUGGAAUCAUCAGAUUAAUUUGCUUAUUUGUUUACUGUCUGUCACUCAUGACUGGAAUGUAUACUCUAGGAAGGCAGGGAUAUAAUCCAAUGGGUUUACUGCUGCACCCCUAGUACCCAGAAGAGUGCUUGGCACCUGAUAAGUGUCUGGGGAAUUUGCUACAUGAAUUACAUGUGUCAGAUGGGAUAUCUGUCUUUCUUCUCUCUUUUUUUCUUUUUCUUUCCCUCUUUCUUUCUUUCUCUCUCUCUUUCUUUCUUUUUUCUUUGUUUGAGAUAAGGUCUCACUCUGUCACCCAGACUAGAGUGCAGUGGUGCAAUCAUGGCUCACUGCAACCUUGAACACGUGGGCUCAAGCGAUCCUCCCACCUCAGGCUACCAAAUAGCUAAGACUACAGAAGUGCCUAGCCAUGCCCAGCUAAUUAAAAAAAAAAAAAAAAUUUUUUUUUUUUUUUUUUUAAAGAUGGGGGUCUCAAUAUCUUGCCCAGGUUGGUCUUAAACUCCUAGGCUCAAGCAAUCCUCCUGCCUUGGCCUCCCAAAGUGCUGGGAUUAUAGGCAUGAGCCACUGCAGCUGGCCCAGACAGAAUCUCAUUUCAGCCUGACAACUUUGUGACAUCAUUAUUUUCAUCUUAAACACCUAGGUUGAUCCCAGCUCAACCACUUGCCAUCUGUGUGAUCUGUGGGCAAGUGACCUUACCUUUCUGAGCCUCAGUUGCCCCAUCUAUAAAAUGGGAAUGAUGCCAGUGCCUGCCUCGAAAGGAUGAGCCCCGUGCCUGAAGCUCAGGGAGCCCUCUCUGCAAGGCUGUUUUAGUGCAACCUCCGGAAACAUGCCCAUGCAUGUGAAAACUGGCAUGCACAUUCUGGUGCUUUUAAAAACAUCUCGAAUUCUAUCCGUAGAUCCUGGACCUCAAGGCUGGUUCAGUGCUAGCCCCCCAUUUUACAGAUGUGGAGAAUGAGGCUUAGCGGGUCCCAGGCAAGUCAGUGGCAAAACUCACCAUCUCCUGGGAGCCAUCAGGUUCCUCUGGAUCUGCCCCCACCAAAUUUAUCCCCUGCUCUCUGCUUGAGGGUGCACAUGGGGUGAGGGUGGGGGGCUUUUGUUUUACUCCCUCCCCCUCCUGAGGAGUCAGUAACCAACAGUAUCUGUGCCUGGAAUAUUAAUGUCUCCGCA